CCUACGGGUGGCAGCAGUGAGGAAUAUUGGUCAAUGGACGAGAGUCUGAACCAGCCAAGUAGCGUGAAGGAUGACUGCCCUAUGGGUUGUAAACUUCUUUUAUAAAGGAAUAAAACGAGGCACGUGUGCCUUUUUGCAUGUACUUUAUGAAUAAGGAUCGGCUAACUCCGUGCCAGCAGCCGCGGUAAUACGGAGGAUCCGAGCGUUAUCCGGAUUUAUUGGGUUUAAAGGGAGCGUAGAUGGGUUGUUAAGUCAGUUGUGAAAGUUUGCGGCUCAACCGUAAAAUUGCAAUUGAUACUGGCAGUCGUGAGUACAGUUGAUGUAGGCGGAAUUCGUGGUGUAGCGGUGAAAUGCUUAGAUAUCACGAAGAACCCCGAUUGCGAAGGUAGCUUACUAAACUGUGACUGACAUUGAUGCUCGAAAGUGUGGGUAUCAAACAGGAUUAGAUACCCUGGUAGUC
rnacentral:rRNA from 1 species